AUUGAACGCUGGCGGCAGGCCUAACACAUGCAAGUCGAGCGGAUGAAGGGAGCUUGCUCCUGGAUUCAGCGGCGGACGGGUGAGUAAUGCCUAGGAAUCUGCCUGGUAGUGGGGGAUAACGUCCGGAAACGGGCGCUAAUACCGCACACGUCCUGAGGGAGAAAGUGGGGGAUCUUCGGACCUCACGCUAUCAGAUGAGCCUAGGUCGGAUUAGCUAGUUGGUGGGGUAAAGGCCUACCAAGGCGACGAUCCGUAACUGGUCUGAGAGGAUGAUCAGUCACACUGGAACUGAGACACGGUCCAGACUCCUACGGGAGGCAGCAGUGGGGAAUAUUGGACGAAGGGCGAAAGCCUGAUCCAGCCAUGCCGCGUGUGUGAAGAAGGUCUUCGGAUUGUAAAGCACUUUAAGUUGGGAGGAAGGGCAGUAAGUUAAUACCUUGCUGUUUUGACGUUACCAACAGAAUAAGCACCGGCUAACUUCGUG
rnacentral:rRNA from 1 species